rnacentral:rRNA from 1 species
GGGUGAUCGGCCACAUUGGAACUGAGAGACGGUCCAAACUCCUACGGGAGGCAGCAGUGGGAAUAUUGGGCAAUGGGGGAAACCCUGACCCAGCAACGCCGCGUGAAGGAAGAAGGUCUUCGGAUCGUAAACUUCUAUCCUUGGUGAAGAGGAGAAGACGGUAGCCAAGAAGGAAGCCCCGGCUAACUACGUGCCAGCAGCCGCGGUAAUACGUAGGGGGCAAGCGUUGUCCGGAAUGAUUGGGCGUAAAGGGCGUGUAGGCGGCCUGGUAAGUCUGGAGUGAAAGUCCUGUUUUUAAGAUGGGAAUUGCUUUGGAUACUGUUGGGCUAGAGUGCAGGAGAGGUAAGUGGAAUUCCCAGUGUAGCGGUGAAAUGCGUAGAGAUUGGGAGGAACACCAGUGGCGAAGGCGACUUACUGGACUGUAACUGACGCUGAGGCGCGAAAGUGUGGGGAGCAAACAGGAUUAGAUACCCUGGUAGUCCACACUGUAAACGAUGAAUGCUAGGUGUAGGGGGUAUCGACCCCUUCUGUGCCGGAGUAAACACAAUAAGCAUUCCGCCUGGGGAGUACGGCCGCAAGGUUGAAACUCAAAGGAAUUGACGGGGGCCCGCACAAGCAGCGGAGCAUGUGGUUUAAUUCGAAGCAACGCGAAGAACCUUACCAGGUCUUGACAUCCAGUAAAGCCUGUAGAGAUACAGAGUCCCUUCGGGGGUACUGAGACAGGUGGUGCAUGGUUGUCGUCAGCUCGUGUCGUGAGAUGUUGGGUUAAGUCCCGCAACGAGCGCAACCCUUAUGAUUAGUUACUAACGGGUAAAGCCGAGGACUCUAAUGAGACUGCCGGGGACAACUCGGAGGAAGGUGGGGACGACGUCAAAUCAUCAUGCCCCUUAUGACCUGGGCUACACACGUGCUACAAUGGCCACUACAAAGAGGAGCGAACCUGCAAGGGGGAGCGGAUCUCAAAAAAGUGGUCCCAGUUCGGAUUGUGGGCUGCAACCCGCCCACAUGAAGUCGGAGUUGCUAGUAAUCGCGGAUCAGCAUGCCGCGGUGAAUACGUUCCCGGGCCUUGUACACACCGCCCGUCACACCAUGGGAGUUGGGAGUGCCCAAAGUCGGCGAGGUAACCGCAAGGAGCCAGCCGCCUAAGGCAAGACCAAUGACUGGGGUGAAGUCGAAACAAGGUAGCCGUAUCGGAAGGUGCGGCUG